rnacentral:misc_RNA from 1 species
AAUGUGUUUAAAAAGUAGUUCAACUGCAAAGACAACACAUUUACCAAAAAUCUAUCAGAAAGAUCUGUGCAACAUCAAUCCCAAAAGAGUAGGUUUCGAUCCAAAAAUUAGACCAUUGUGCAUUUGGAAGAUUAUGUUGCACCAUAGGUCUCUUUCAAGAAUGAAUACAAGUGAAGUUAGAACAUGGGAGUGUUAAAACCCUACACAGAAGAAAUGUCGGAUGAAAAAUCAUAUGCCAAAAGAAAAAAAAAUCUAGUGUCUAUAUUCCAAAAUGUAAACUCUAAAGAAAGCAAGUAAAUAAUCUGUAAGAAAGCAACUAAACAUAUUGCAGAAUCUAUCAGCACAACCUUUGAUUCGAAAGUUAUGUCUCACUAUCCUCAAUCUUGGUUAAGAUAUUUGAGGAGGAUGGACAAUGCAAUUAUGAUAAAGCAGGUUUCCACAGGCCACAAGGAAAAAAGGGGGAGCCAGUCUCAACAGGUAUAUUUAAUUUCUUAGUUUUACAUAUCUAAAUCUGCCACUAUAUUGACAUUCAUUCAAAAAGAAAAGCACAUUUUUUAUAAAUGUAGAAGAGAAAACAAGACACAUACCCCUCCAUAUUUGCUGCG